UGGGUAGGGGAGCGUUCUGUAAGCCUGUGAAGGUGGCCUGUGAGGGUUGCUGGAGGUAUCAGAAGUGCGAAUGCUGACAUAAGUAACGAUAAAGCGGGUGAAAAGCCCGCUCGCCGGAAGACCAAGGGUUCCUGUCCAACGUUAAUCGGGGCAGGGUGAGUCGACCCCUAAGGCGAGGCCGAAAGGCGUAGUCGAUGGGAAACGGGUUAAUAUUCCCGUACUUGGUGUUACUGCGAAGGGGGGACGGAGAAGGCUAUGUUGGCCGGGCGACGGUUGUCCCGGUUUAAGCGUGUAGGCUGGUUUUCCAGGCAAAUCCGGAAAAUCAAGGCUGAGGCGUGACGACGAGGCACUACGGUGCUGAAGCAACAAAUGCCCUGCUUCCAGGAAAAGCCUCUAAGCAUCAGGUAACAUCAAAUCGUACCCCAAACCGACACAGGUGGUCAGGUAGAGAAUACCAAGGCGCUUGAGAGAACUCGGGUGAAGGAACUAGGCAAAAUGGUGCCGUAACUUCGGGAGAAGGCACGCUGACACGUAGGUGAAGUGAUUUACUCACGGAGCUGAAGUCAGUCGAAGAUACCAGCUGGCUGCAACUGUUUAUUAAAAACACAGCACUGUGCAAACACGAAAGUGGACGUAUACGGUGUGACGCCUGCCCGGUGCCGGAAGGUUAAUUGAUGGGGUCAGCGCAAGCGAAGCUCCUGAUCGAAGCCCCGGUAAACGGCGGCCGUAACUAUAACGGUCCUAAGGUAGCGAAAUUCCUUGUCGGGUAAGUUCCGACCUGCACGAAUGGCGUAAUGAUGGCCAGGCUGUCUCCACCCGAGACUCAGUGAAAUUGAACUCGCUGUGAAGAUGCAGUGUACCCGCGGCAAGACGGAAAGACCCCGUGAACCUUUACUAUAGCUUGACACUGAACAUUGAGCCUUGAUGUGUAGGAUAGGUGGGAGGCUUUGAAGUGUGGACGCCAGUCUGCAUGGAGCCGACCUUGAAAUACCACCCUUUAAUGUUUGAUGUUCUAACGUGGACCCGUGAUCCGGGUUGCGGACAGUGUCUGGUGGGUAGUUUGACUGGGGCGGUCUCCUCCUAAAGAGUAACGGAGGAGCACGAAGGUUGGCUAAUCCUGGUCGGACAUCAGGAGGUUAGUGCAAUGGCAUAAGCCAGCUUGACUGCGAGCGUGACGGCGCGAGCAGGUGCGAAAGCAGGUCAUAGUGAUCCGGUGGUUCUGAAUGGAAGGGCCAUCGCUCAACGGAUAAAAGGUACUCCGGGGAUAACAGGCUGAUACCGCCCAAGAGUUCAUAUCGACGGCGGUGUUUGGCACCUCGAUGUCGGCUCAUCACAUCCUGGGGCUGAAGUAGGUCCCAAGGGUAUGGCUGUUCGCCAUUUAAAGUGGUACGCGAGCUGGGUUUAGAACGUCGUGAGACAGUUCGGUCCCUAUCUGCCGUGGGCGCUGGAGAACUGAGGGGGGCUGCUCCUAGUACGAGAGGACCGGAGUGGACGCAUCACUGGUGUUCGGGUUGUCAUGCCAAUGGCACUGCCCGGUAGCUAAAUGCGGAAGAGAUAAGUGCUGAAAGCAUCUAAGCACGAAACUUGCCCCGAGAUGAGUUCU
rnacentral:rRNA from 1 species